rnacentral:rRNA from 1 species
AUUGAACGCUGGCGGCAGGCUUAACACAUGCAAGUCGAGCGGAGAUGAGGUGCUUGCACCUUAUCUUAGCGGCGGACGGGUGAGUAAUGCUUAGGAAUCUGCCUAUUAGUGGGGGACAACAUUCCGAAAGGAAUGCUAAUACCGCAUACGUCCUACGGGAGAAAGCAGGGGAUCUUCGGACCUUGCGCUAAUAGAUGAGCCUAAGUCGGAUUAGCUAGUUGGUGGGGUAAAGGCCUACCAAGGCGACGAUCUGUAGCGGGUCUGAGAGGAUGAUCCGCCACACUGGGACUGAGACACGGCCCAGACUCCUACGGGAGGCAGCAGUGGGGAAUAUUGGACAAUGGGGGGAACCCUGAUCCAGCCAAGCCGCGUGUGUGAAGAAGGCCUUAUGGUUGUAAAGCACUUUAAGCGAGGAGGAGGCUACUGAGACUAAUACUCUUGGAUAGUGGACGUUACUCGCAGAAUAAGCACCGGCUAACUCUGUG